rnacentral:tRNA from 1 species
GGUAGCAUGGCCGAGCGGUCUAAGGCGCUGGUUUAAGGCACCAGUCAUUUCGAUGACGUGGGUUCGAAUCCCACUGCUGCCA